CCCCCCGGCUUUCAAUCUGUUUAAAUGCCAUUUAAAUGUAAAGUAUGUUCCAAGUAUGCUGUUAUUAAUACUAGUGAAGGCAUCAAAUUUGUUACUGAUUCUCUCCCUAAAACAGGUAUCCGGGGAUCCUUAACAUAACUGCCCCUGUGUUUCCAUGUUGGUUACUUGUUUGUACAGGAUAAUUGCUUACACAGGUUCAGGAGUGUCUGGAUUUCAGUUACAUGUCUCUGAGUUUCAAAGCAGGUUGAGAACUGCUAGAGGACGUUAGAGACUUCUUGUUAGAAAAUCUGUACAUAAUACGAAUCCCAGGCACCCCUAAACAAGGAAUCUUUAUAGCCCAGAUCCUGCAGCUUUGUCUAAUGUUGGCCGACACCGGUCCCGGGAGCUGUAGGAGGUCAGACGCACGGGUCCCCCUCCUCUGGGGGAGCCGGUGACCAGGAGUCAUGAGGUCCCGGGUCCUGUGCUGCCCUCUGCUGUCAGAUCUUUGGAGCAGAGCCCAGUGGGGCGCAUGGGUCCUUCCUGGUCUGGGCAGACGAGAGCGACAACACUGCGAAAUUCUUCUGUGACUGAAGAGGGAGGGCGGGAGCAUGAGGUCACAGAAAACAGGUGACUCCCGUGAAGAUGUGACUGCCCGAGCAGGUGAGAUAGGUUGUCCCCUUGCUACGUGAGUCGGGCGGAGGGGAGAAGAGGAUUUCUGUUUUAGAAGGUGGCUGUUCAGAGCAGCAGUGGCCUAGGUGCGGAUUUAAUUUCAGAAGGGAUGUGGGGUUUCUGAAGAAGGUUGGAGAGGCAAGUUUGGAGAGAAAUGAGAGGAACGUUCUGUGGUUAUAAGUGUGGGGCAUGAGGAGGGGCUGCCGUGGGGGCGGUGACUCGGCAGCGAUGGGCACGGCCGGCUGAGGACGGGAGCCUGCCCACAGCGGCGGGCUUCACCGCCCUUGAUGAAGCCUUUGUGGAGGGACCGGCCAACUGGGUGGUGAACGGGCACCGGCGUGCGGAAGGGGAGCUGGCAGUAAGAGGCUGGACCUGGAGAGGACUUGGGGAGUGGUGGGGUUGACCUGACCUAAGCUGGGGGUGAGGUGGGCAUCGCUCUGCGUCUGGGCUGCUAUUUGGAGUCAGGAGAAGCAAAACAGUCCUGGCACCCGGCGUGCUGGUUCCCUGAGUGGAAAUCCCUGGGAAGAUGCUGGACGCCAGAGUCGAACAGGCGAUCUGCAGUCACCCAAAAAACCUGUUGGGUCAAGUCAACAUACAGAUAAGCCUGGUGACCCCUCCAGGGCAUGUCUUGCGUGAGCACCUGUGAGCACCAUUGGUCAUGAUGAACUAUAGCCAAAUACAAGCUAGCCAAGUUUAUGUCAUAACGAGGUUGAAGAAGGGUCAUAAAAGGUGCAAGGGAGUCAGGAGCAUUGGUGAUCGGUCAGCAAACUGUAGCCAAUAGGCCAAGAAUGGUUUUUAGUUUCUAAUGGUGAAAAAUGAUUUUGUGACACGUGAAAAGUAUCUGAAAUUCACACUUCGGCGUCCAUAAAUAAAGGUUUAUUGGAAUAUGGCCACACCCAUUGCUUGUAUAAUGGCUGCUUUCUCUAUCGAUACAGUGGCAGAGUUGAGUAGUUGUGACAGAGACCGUGUGGCCUGCAAAGUCGGGAGAUAUUUACCGUCUGGCCCUUUCCAGAGAAGGUCUUCUGAAGCUCAGAGAUAAGAUUUGUGACACGUGGGACGCCUACGUGACUUGGGGGACGUCAUUCACAGCGCCCUCCGGCAGUCGUCUCUCAGGAGGAAUAGAUUCUUGGCGUCUAUUAAAACGAGAUCAGUAUCUCACGGAGUUCAGUAAAGGCUAAACCGAACAAACCCCAACAACCAAACCAUAACCACCAGAGCAGAGAGAGAAGAGAUGCACAGGGGCGUGAUAGGGCAGAAGAAGCGCGCUAGGCCCCCCGGCGGGCGGACGUCACGGUGGACCAAGGUUGAACAAAAGUGAGCAGUCUUGCGUUCUAACUGUGCAGGCUGGACAUUGGACAAGUCCCUUCUAGAGUUUAGAAUGUGAAGAAGCCAGAGAAAAACAAGGAUUUGAAGUCACAGACUCUCCAAAGUGGGUCAGGUUUAGUGAAAGCGGGGGACACGUUUACUCCAGUCAUCUGACGGUAUGACAUGAAGAGAGCUUGCUGGUUGCCCCCUUGUGUGCAGGAAGGGAUUGUCAGGGAGCCAGGAAGAGGAGUGUGGCCAGGAGAGAAGGCCUUCCAGGAGGGGAUGGGAUGCUAGCGCCUUUCCAAACCGCGGGAACCCUGGGGUGGCUUGGAUGCAGGGCCCCAGUUCCCUUCCAGGGUGAGGGUGUUUCAGCUGGGUUGUGAAGGGCCCUCUCUUCUGGAAUGGGUCCUGCCGCAUGAUUCUCAGCCUCUGCUUCUCUCCCAGGCAUCAUUCAUGCCAGAGGACUGGUUCGAGAGUGCUUGGCUGAAACGGAGCGGAAUGCCAGAUCCUAGCUGCCUGUUUGCGUGGAAGGUUUUCCGUCUUCUUCCAAGAAGAGAAGUUAUAGCUCAACUCCCACGUUCAGAUGAAACUCUUGUUUUCAAAAUGCAUUGAUUUAGAAGAUGCACGGAAAAGAUACCUAUCUCACAGCAAAGAUACCAGUGUCUCCCUUUUAUCUUCCCUUUUGAAUACCGUUAUGUUACCCAGAUUGUUCUUCGUUCCUUUUCAUAAGCUAAUACAACAACUCCAGGGUUUUGUUUCUAGUGCAUACGUUUGCCACAUGGUGUGGAUUCUGCUUAAUGUAACUUCUUUUGUGCUUAAGCAUUUGCCUGCAUGACUAUUAGUGCUUUGAGGUCAAAUUUAAAAAUGCACAAGUUAUAAAUACAGAAGAAAGAGCAACCUACCAAACCUAACAAGAACCCCCGAAAAUAUUCCUACUAAGACUGUGUGUGGAUUUCAGUUCUGCCUUUCGUGUAAGUUGAUCCAAACAUCUGGAAGAAAAUGAUUAAAACUGUUUGCAUCUUUGUAUUUAUUACUUGAUGUAAUAAAGCUUAUUUUCAUUAACAA